UGUCCCAUUCGCAAGGAGAAUAGGCACUGUUGAUCAUGCCAUCCAGAGGUGGUUAAUGGGGCUACAUUGAGAUAUAAGCUAUGCUUGCAUCACAGCAAAGGCAUUGCAUUGGUGACAAUGAGACCUGUAACAUCU
ensembl:snoRNA